AGAGUUUGAUCCUGGCUCAGAUUGAACGCUGGCGGCGUGCUUAACACAUGCAAGUCGAGCGAGAAAGUCCGCUUCGGUGGAUGAGUACAGCGGCGCACGGGUGAGUAACGCGUGGAUAUCUACCGUUGGAUUCGGGAUAACAGAUGGAAACGUCUGCUAAUACCGAAUACGCUGGUAACGGGAAAGGUGGCCUCUUCAUGAACGCUACCGUCCGACGAUGAGUCCGCGUCUCAUUAGCUUGUUGGUGGGGUAAUGGCCUACCAAGGCAACGAUGAGUAGCUGGUCUGAGAGGAUGAUCAGCCACACUGGGACUGGAACACGGCCCAGACUCCUACGGGAGGCAGCAGUGGGGAAUAUUGCGCAAUGGGGGAAACCCUGACGCAGCGACGCCGUGUGAGGGAAGAAGGCCUUCGGGUCGUAAACCUCUGUCAGGAGGGAAGAAAUGUAUGGAUUCUAACAGGUUCCAUAUUUGACGGCACCUCCAGAGGAAGCACCGGCUAACUCCGUGCCAGCAGCCGCGGUAAUACGGAGGGUGCAAGCGUUAAUCGGAAUCACUGGGCGUAAAGCGCACGUAGGCGGCUUGGUAAGUCAAAUGUGAAAGCCCUCGGCCCAACCGAGGAACUGCAUUCGAAACUGCCAAGCUCGAGUCCGGGAGGGGGUAGCGGAAUUCCUGGUGUAGGAGUGAAAUCCGUAGAUAUCAGGAGGAACACCGGUGGCGAAGGCGGCUACCUGGGACCGUACUGACGCUGAGGUGCGAAAGCGUGGGGAGCAACAGGAUUAGAUACCCUGGUAGUCCACGCCGUA
rnacentral:rRNA from 1 species